UUAUCUUACUCAAGAGAAAGAAAAUUGUAAUAUUUUUAAUUGCCCUUGUGAUUCUUUUAGCACUGAAAAGUAAACUAAACAAAAGGGGGGACCAGUCUGGUGUCACUGUCAUAAGCAAAGGAUUCUGUAGCAACACAGACGUGAAGCCAGAAGACUUCAAACAAAUGCAGCAGGUACAUCCCGCAGUCGCUGAAGUGUUCCUUGCCAAAAUGGAUUCUCCUGUGCCAUUAAAGAAGUAAACCUGCCAAAUUAGAGAUGCUACUUGAGUCUUGAAUCACGCAGUGCUGGUUAAAAAAUUAAGUCUCUUGAUUAUAUACUUCAUGAAACCUUCCCAUUGGCUCUUUGAGGUCAGCUCUGCACGGUGACUGGAUUGUUCAGAAAUACUGGUGAACCAAUCUCUUAGAAAUAUAAUACAUUCCCUCAAUCAGUAUAUGAAAUUUCAUUUUUCUCAAAUCAUAUUCCAUGCACUAGGUAGAUCACUUAAGAUGCUGAGUGCAUUAAACUUGAAGAGACAGGCAUUUAAACAUCACCAGUACAUUUAAUAAUCUAGGUUUGUGCCUGCACCACUGUUUCUUUUUAUAUGAAGAUACAAUCCGAUACAGUGUUUUGUCAUACCUGAGGACUUCUGAUAAACUUGCCUACAGUUCCACAUUGCAAAGAUAAGACUGGCAGUUCUUUCAGCUUUUACUGGGUCCACUCUCCAGAUUCAGAAGAGUUCAUCAGUGGGCAUUACUUUCUUGUUAUGUGUUCUUUGUAUUUGUUUUGGCAAAAAGAUAAAGUGACAAAUGCAUGAAAAAUUCAAGUAAUCUCUUUAAGUUGUUGACACAGUGAAAAUUAUCACCCAUUUUAAUUUCGCAUACAUCUGCAACUUAGUCAAUACCUUCCAUUUUAAAUUCUAAAUCCUGGUUUUAAAUAUUGCUCAGUGAUCCUGCCUUUAUUUCAGGCCUUUAAUGUAUACAGAACAAAUAUCAAUGUGGUAAUGUGUAAACAAUAGAAUUACC
rnacentral:lncRNA from 1 species